CUACGGGAGGCAGCAGUGGGGAAUAUUGGACAAUGGGCGCAAGCCUGAUCCAGCCAUGCCGCGUGCGUGAUGAAGGCCUUAGGGUUGUAAAGCUCUUUUGUCCGGGAAGAUAAUGACUGUACCGGAAGAAUAAGCCCCGGCUAACUUCGUGCCAGCAGCCGCGGUAAUACGAAGGGGGCUAGCGUUGUUCGGAAUCACUGGGCGUAAAGCGCACGUAGGCGGACCAUUAAGUCAGGGGUGAAAGCCUGGAGCUCAACUCCAGAACUGCCUUUGAUACUGAUGGUCUCGAGUAUGGAAGAGGUUGGUGGAACUGCGAGUGUAGAGGUGAAAUUCGUAGAUAUUCGCAAGAACACCAGUGGCGAAGGCGGCCAACUGGUCCAUUACUGACGCUGAGGUGCGAAAGCGUGGGGAGCAAACAGGAUUAGAAACCCCUGUAGUCC
rnacentral:rRNA from 1 species